rnacentral:rRNA from 1 species
UCAAGCGCGAAAAGGGCGUUUGGUGAAUGCCUUGGCAGUAAGAGGCGAUGAAAGACGUGAUACUCUGCGAUAAGCCAUGAGGAGCUGAGAAUAAGCUUUGAUCCAUGGAUCUCUGAAUGGGGCAACCCACCUAAUACUGUGUUAUUACUAUCCACGAGGCCUUCGGGUCGAAAUGGCUGGCUAAUAAUGCGGUAAACUAGGUACUUCUAACCUGAAUACAUAGGGUUAAAAGAGCAAACCCGGGGAACUGAAACAUCUAAGUACCCGGAGGAAAGGAAAUCAAUAGAUACUCCCCUAGUAGCGGCGAGCGAACGGGGACCAGCCGAGCCGUAAUUGUGAUUAGAAGUCGUUGGAAUGCGACACCAUAGUGGGUGAUAGUCCCGUAUAAGAAGCAUGAUCGGACGUAUUAAGUAGGGCGGAACACGUGAAAUUCUGUCUGAACAUCGGAGGACCACCUUCGAAGGCUAAGUACUCCUUACUGACCGAUAGUGAACCAGUACCGUGAGGGAAAGGUGAAAAGCACCCCGACGAGGGGAGUGAAACAGUACCUGAAACCGAACGCCUACAAUCAGUUGGAGGGCCCUUGCGGCCUGACAGCGUACCUUUUGUAUAAUGGGUCAUCGACUUGGUCUAUCUAGCAAGCUUAAGCCGUUAGGUGUAGGCGCAGCGAAAGCGAGUCUUAAUAGGGCGAAUGAGUUCGUGGGAUCAGACCCGAAACCGAGUGAUCUAGGCAUGACCAGGAUGAAGGUAAGGUAACACUUACUGGAGGUCCGAACCCACACCUGUUGAAAAAGGUCGGGAUGAGUUGUGCCUAGGGGUGAAAGGCCAAUCAAACUCGGAGAUAGCUGGUUCUCUGCGAAAUCUAUUUAGGUAGAGCGUCAUCCGAAUACCCCGGGGGGUAGAGCACUGGAUGGGCAAUGGGGGCUUACCGCCUUACUGACCCUAACCAAACUCCGAAUACCCGGGAGUACUAGAUGGCAGACACACUGUGGAUGCUAACGUCCAUAGUGAAGAGGGAAACAACCCUAACCUACAGCUAAGGCCCCUAAUUCAUGGCUAAGUGGGAAAGCAGGUGGGACGACCAAAACAACCAGGAAGUUGGCUUAGAAGCAGCCAUCUUUUAAAGAUAGCGUAACAGCUCACUGGUCUAAAUAAGUUGUCCUGCGGCGAAGAUGUAACGGGGCUCAAGCCAUGAGCCGAAGCUUAGGAUGCACAUAGUGCAUGGUAGCAGAGCGUAGUGUGACAUAAUUCCAUGCGUCCUUACCAUCCUUCGGGGUGGAUUGGACGCAAGGAAUUUUCGAUGAAGCCGGCCUGUGAGGGAUCCGGUGGAGAGAUCACUAGUGAGAAUGAUGACAUGAGUAGCGACAAACAGGGUGAGAGACCCUGUCGCCGAAAGUCCAAGGGUUCCUGCUUAAAGCUAAUCUGAGCAGGGUAAGCCGACCCCUAAGGCGAGGCCGAAAGGCGUAGUCGAUGGGAACCAGGUUAAUAUUCCUGGGCCAGGUGGUAGUGACGGAUCUCGAGGGUAGUUCAUCCUUAUCGGAUUGAAUGGGCUGCUUAGAGGUUCCAGGAAAUAGCUCCACCAUGAGAUCGUACCCUAAACCGACACAGGUGGACUGGUAGAGAAUACCAAGGCGCUUGAGAGAACGAUGUUGAAGGAACUCGGCAAAAUACCUCCGUAAGUUCGCGAGAAGGAGGCCCAGUUUCUACGCAAGUAUUGACUGGGGGCACAAACCAGGGGGUGGCGACUGUUUACUAAAAACACAGGGCUCUGCGAAGUCGCAAGACGACGUAUAGGGUCUGACGCCUGCCCGGUGCCUGAAGGUUAAAAGGAGGAGUGCAAGCUCCGAAUUGAAGCCCAGGUAAACGGCGGCCGUAACUAUAACGGUCCUAAGGUAGCGAAAUUCCUUGUCGGGUAAGUUCCGACCUGCACGAUUCUCGCAACGCCAUC